AAGGUAUUGUGCUAUUGUCCUGGCUCAAUCAGAGAGCCACAAAAACCGAAACUACGGUUUCAAGCUUAUCUGGUUGAGCCGCGACAGUAUCUUAAAACUUCUC
rnacentral:pre_miRNA from 1 species